CCCAAGAACAUGUAUCUUGGAGGCCGUCUUGGGGUCCAGAAAACUCUUAACAGUAUUCCAGAGAAGCCUAAACCCAGCCCCGGCAUUGAUUAUGAACAUCUGAUUAAGCGUCUCGGGAUAAUUAUCACCAUCAAUCUUCUGGAGCCGCAAAAUGAGCUCCCUUGCACUCUUGCUGAAGUUUUUCAAACCCACUCCCUGAACGUCCAAAAUAGUAGUGCUACAAUCGAUCUGCCUUUUAGCAGCUAUUGUACAAGCUGGAAACUUGAUCGAAAAACAUUGCUCGAACUCCCUUACGUGGUAUUUUAUAUAACGAUCCAUGGUUGUCACUUGCAUGAGUUUGUUAGGAUCAACUUUCCCUAAUCUUUCAAUGUAUACUGGUCUUCCCUCCUUAUCAAUCCCAUGAUAACCUUGGGGAUAAUAUUUUACAACUUCUUCCAACUCCGGGAAUUCAAAAUCCUCCGUGAUUGUGUCAGCCCCAAAAUCCUUCCUCCACUGAAGCAUAUCA
rnacentral:misc_RNA from 1 species